UUACGGCUAUAACACGUUGAAAUACCGAUUCUCGUCCGAUCACCGAAGUUAAGCAACGUCAAGCCUAGCCAGUACCUAGAUGAGUAACCGCUUAAGAAUACCAAGUGCUGUAAG